UGACGUCAAGCGUGGGUCUCAGUUUGGACUUGUCACAUUUCAAGUGCUCCAUCUGCCACACGUGGCCAGCAGCCGCCGCCGGGGACAGCACUGGCUUAAACCGUAAGAGGAUUGGCGAGAUGAGCUGGUCUUAGUUCUGAUAUUCCUGGAGCGGGAAUCUGGAUCCUGCUAUGCAGAGGUUCAAGGACGGCAAGAAUCUUCAUGACCACUUAAGAGUCCACACAUAUCUAUGGUGCUGGAGUCUUGCUGAGGCUGGAAGAGCUCAGGGCUGGACCGCCUCCGGAAACGCUUCCCAGGGAGUGCACCUGCAGGACAUUCUGUGAUCUCCAGGCUGGCGGGAGACCUUCCCAGGCUAGGGUACUGGCUCCCAACUCAAAGGUGAGGAAGCACGUGACCGGAGCAAGGUCACCCAAAGGCACGGUGACCUGGAGCUCAAGCCUCUGGGGCAUCUCAUUCCUCCAGCCACACGGCUCUAGGGUGGAGCGAUGGUCGCCGCUGCAAGGUCGGCUCAGCACCUGGAAAGCAAAGCCUUCCCUUCCCUGGACUGGACACGCAGUGGGACCCGGGGCUGAGCCGCCUGCUCCCGAGCCGGCUCUGGGAACCAGUGGGCAAAGCUGCUGCGGCUCUCACCCCACCCAAGCGACCUCCCUGUCAUCCUCAUCUCCCUGGCGUCCCGCAGCCCUCCGUGCUCAGGAGCCCUUCCAAGUGCGGAGCCGGGAACACUGCCGGGUGUGGGGCGCUCUCUUCCUCCCGGUUUUGCUGGUCUCCAUCCCCACACCACGUUCAGCUGCUCCCCGCCCUGGGCAGAGCCCUCCACCCAUGCCCGGAACCCUCAGCUGGCCUGAUCCCUGUGGCGCCAGGCGGGUCCCGCAGGGCGGGCAGGGCAGCUGCCAGGAUGCUGGGUGGGAGGCAGGCGAGGCUGGGCCAGGGGCUCCCACUGGGCCUGGGGUGAUCCACUCCCUUGUUCAUUCUGUUCUUCACAUUCCUGAGCAGGGGGAGGGGAGACAGACAGACAGGACACCAGUACCUGCGGUCCUGGGAACGGAGGGUCAGAGCCUCCAGCGGGAGGGGAGGCAAUCAGGAAAGCUUCCUGGAGGAGUCAGUGCUGCCGGAGCUGAAUCCCGUUCCUGUGUCCCAAAGGGAGUUGCUUUUCAGGUGGUACACACAAAAGCAGGAAGGCUGAAGGCAGCCCUGACCGGGCACCCGGCCUUUGUCCGCCCGCCCUCCCACACGGCCGCCUGCAGGGAGCAUCUGAGAGCACAGACCCCACGUGUCCCUGCCCUGCUUAAAGCCCGCCAGUAACAGACUGUCGGAGGAUGUUGGCCCUUCCUACUAGGCCCAGGCCACCUUCAGGGCUCCCGUGAAGGGCCUUCACUCAAUCAGCACUUUUCAAAUUUCAGGUUGUGACCCAUUAGUGGGGCUUGAAAUCACAUUAGUGGGUCAGGAACAGCAUUUUAAUUUAAUUAAUUUAUUUAUGUAUCUAGAGACAGGAUUUCACUCUGUCACCCAGGCUGGAGUGCAGUGGCUUGAUCUCCGCUCACUGCAACCUCCGCCUCCUGGGUUCAAGUGAUUCUCCCACCUCAGCCUCCCAAGUAGCUGGGAUUACAGGCGUGUGCCACCGCGCCUGGCCAGGAAUGGUGUUUUCAGAUGGGAUGCAAUGUUAUAGACUAGAAUGAAGUGAAAUAAAAUGGAACAGAACAGAACAGAAUAGAAUAAAUGUGAUUGAUCAGA